rnacentral:rRNA from 1 species
GAUGAACGCUGGCGGCGUGCUUAACACAUGCAAGUCGAGCGGACAGACGAGGUGCUUGUUUCUUUGACGUUAGCGGCGGACGGGUGAGUAACACGUGGAUAACAUACCUAUAAGACUGGGAUAACCUCGGGAAACCGGAGCUAAUACCGGAUAAUAUACUGAACCGCAUGGUUUAAUAGUGAAAGACAGUUUUGCUGUCACUUAUAGAUGGAUCCGCGCCGUAUUAGCUGGUUGGUAGGGUAACGGCUUACCAAGGCGGUGAUGGGUAGCCGACGGGAGAGGGGGGUGGCCCGCCCUGGAGGGGAUGCACGAUCCGGCCGCCUACGGGAGGCAGCAGUAGGGGAUCAUCCGCAAUGAGGGGGAGCAGGACGGAGCAACGCCGCGUGGGUGAGGAAGGUCUUCGGAUCGUGAAGCUCUGUUAUUGGGGGUGAAGAAAUUUGGAAGGAACUGUGCGCGUCUUGACGGUACCUGGACAAUAAGCCACGGCUAACUACGUG